UGCUUAUCUUACCUACCGUUUAGUGGGGGAUAAAAUACCGCAUAUUCUGGUUUCGACCAGGAAAGGACUUCGGUUCGCUAAAUGAUGGGGAUAAGUCGUAUCAGUUAGUUGGUAGGGUAAAGGCCUACCAAGACAAUGACGCGUAGCCGGGCUGAGAGGCUGAUCGGCCACAAGGGAACUGAGACACGGUUCCUACUCCUACGGGAGGCAGCAAUGAUGAAUCGUCGGCAAUGGGGGCAACCCUGACCGCGCAAUGCUACGUGAAGGAGGAAGGUCUACGGAUUGUAAACUUCUUUACUAGAGGGUACUGACGCAAGAAUUACCCUUUAGCAAAAAGUCACGACUAACUAUGUGCCAGCAGUCGCGGUAAGACAUAGGUGGCAAACGUUAUCCGGAAUUAUUGGGCGUAAAGGGUGCGUAGAUGGUAUGAUAAGUUAGCGGUGGGAAAUCGAGGCUCAACCUCGUGGAAGCUGGUAAUACUAUCGUGCUAGAGUGUAGGAGAGGUUAACGGAACUCCCCGUGGAGCGGUGAAAUGCAUAGAUAUGGGGAAGAACACCAAUAACGGCGAAGGCAGUUAACUAUUCUACUACUGACAUUGAGGCACGAAAGCGUGGGGAGCAAAAAGGAUUAGAUACCCUUGUAGUCCACGCCCUAAACGAUGAGUACUAGAUAUUGGGAACUUGAUUCUCAGUGUCGCUGGUAACCCGGUAAGUACUCCGCCUGGGUAGUACGGUCGCAAGGCUGAAACUCAAAGGAAUUGACGGGGACUCGCACAAGCAGUGGAGCAUGUGGUUUAAUCCGAUACGACGCGUAGAACCUUACCAAGGCUUGACAUGUUCGGCAAAGUUGCUGAAAGGCAAUGGAGGUUAUCCGAACACAGGUGCUGCAUGGCCGUCGUCAGUUCGUGCCGUGAGGUGUAUGGUUAAGUCCUAUAACGAACGCAACCCUUGGGCUUAGUUACCAGCAUUCAGUUGGGGACUCUAAGCCGACUGCCCGAGUAAUCGGGAGGAAGGAAAGGAUGACGUCUGGUCAUC
rnacentral:rRNA from 1 species